GUCUCGCGGUCAAUCCCUCGCUCGCAUGCUCGCCGCGCCUCCUCCCCCCGGUCGCUGCGCCGCUGGCCUGCUCGCCGCGCCUCCCCCCCCCGCUCGCCGCGCCUCCUCACCCGCUCGCCGCGCCGCGCCUCCUCCCGCCGCUCGCCGAACCUACUGAUCCACGCGUGACCAUCAUGCCGCACCACACCACAAAGGAGGGGACAGCGGCGAGGACGGUUCCACACCGGUCGGCGGCGCGGUGAAGUAUGUCCUGCUCCCUCUGCCAUAUCCCUUUCUCUUUCCCUCCCUUCAUUUCUCUUCUUCUCUCGGCCGACGGGUUAAUGGUGAGUGACGGAGGUUCACCCCCCUCUCCUUGGGACGACAGCGGCGGCGGGCAGCAAGUGGCUGGCUACAACUCGCUUUUCUCUCCGAUCCGUUCUCUCUCACCGGAUGUCUCUGUAAACUGAAUCUUAUUUCUCUGAAUUUUGGCUGAACUGCAGCACGAAGGAGGCAACCAGGACACCGACGCCAAGCCGGCGACCAGGGCGGACACCAUCUCAAUCUCCGGUCAUUUCUUCCUCUGGUAUGACCGCACGAUCUCCACCUAUACAAAAUUAGUUAGCCUUGAGAGAAAGAAUUCAACAAUUUAUUGAUCACUUUAAUCGUUAUAAAGAGUGUGGCUGGUGCACCCGGGGGGCGAGGACAAUCAGGGUUGAUGAUCCCCAUCUGUAUUACAAUUAGAAAGGCCACCGGCAUUAUUGCUCAAGCUUAAAUUAAUAGACAGAGUGCAUCACUCUCUUUUGAAAAUUCCGAGCAUACCAUUGAUGACUUUUAUUGAUUAGGGGAUUUAUUGCAGCAAGAACGCGUUAAUCUUGGCUAUCAACAGAGAAUGUGAUGAGAUGGCAUUGGUUGCAGAUGAAAUGAAAAAAUAUUUAUAGGUCGGAUUGGCUUAUGCAUAGGUGUAUUGAUUGGAAUUAUCCACUUUACUGUGUUCUAUGUUUUUCAUUUCCUUUUGUUGAUGAAGAUUGAUUUUUUCAGUGCAGAUCUAGAUUGUAGAAUUCCAUGCUUGAGUUAGGGCUUGUGAUUGGCCUUUGUGAUGCGCACGUAGAUUCUAGGAUGUACUUGAUUGAUCUAUGAGAUGUGUGACUUGGUGGUGAAGGUUUCUCACAUCUGCUUGGUUGACUAUGGAGAAAUGAGCAUGUUCACCGUGCGGAUUGUUCAUAUAUUCUUUGGCUGUGUCAGUGCUGAUCUCAGUUACUUGAUUUUCUAUCAAUUGCUCUUGCCAGUGGAGGGAUAGUAGCAGAUUUAAUGGUCGUAUUUUGUUAAUUUUAAUAGCAAUCCUUUUAUUCUCAGAUCCAUGUCGUUUAUGCACUGCCACAUUGGUUCAUCUUUAUUUCCUAGAGUAUCCUGACAGGUUUCUGUAGGAUAAACAUUUCUAUCAUGCUAAGCAUUUUUUUAAGUAUCGCAAGCUGUAAGUUUGGGAAAUUUAUACUUGUUCAUUGUAGCUUUACUAUUCCUGUAAGCUUACACCUCAUAUCUCCAUCUUAUAAUUGCAGGUGUAUUCACCUCAUCACACCAUUAGUUCUGAUCAAGGUACCCAUCAUUUCCUACAUUGCAGAUGUAAAGCCAUUUUUUCUGGGGAUUGCUGAUAUUAAGUCUGUCAUUCGGCAAAAUAUUUCUGAUCCUAAUAAAUAAUCAGAUUAUUGUGCUCAUAGUUUUUCUUCUCUUAACUAGGAUCUGGAUGUGGUGCAAGCUACAAACACUACCCGGAAGGAGGCAUCGGGAUUGUUAUUGACUCGGAGGAGCAGGAGGCACCCGGAGAGGGAGUAAGCACCUUGACAAUGACAGCCAUGACCCGGCUUAUUUGGUUAUCCUUCAUAUGUCACCUAGGUUGGUUUGUGGGAAUUGACAUGCAUUGUUGUUCCAUUUAACUGAUUUAUUUGAUAAAUAUAUGACCAUAUGAGUAACCUAUUGUUUGUUUUAGUACCAUUUUACUUAUCUAUUUGAUAAACAUGUGACCAUAUGAGUAACAUAUUGUUUGUUUUAGUACUACCAGACACCGCAUUCCUAUUUAAUAGGGAAUUUAUUAUCUAUCAUUCAGGCUAUAAUAAUUGUUUUUUACUAGCGAUUGAAGCUUUAUUGUAUGCUUUAGAUUUAUCUAUUACUAUUAAACAAUCAAACAUAUUCAUCUCUAAAUGCAUCCAACCUAAUCUACGUGUAACAUCCCAAACUAAUUAUAGCCUCAUGAUCCGAAUCACUUGAUUUUAUCUAACAAUUUAGAUUACUCUAUCUGUCACACAUGAGUGCGUUUAGCAAUAUUAGAGUGCAUACGAAAACUCUUCCGUCCCAUUAUGACUCGCGGUGGCGACCCCAUCAAUCACGCCCAAAAAAAAGAAUCAGAUCCCAAUCAGAUCCCCUCACCCUCAACCGGGCGAUGCACCACCGGCUUGCCAUCACAAGACUUCCCAGUUGGCGUGAUCCUCCUCCCCCUUCUCACUAGAUUUCAUCUUCGCCAAUGAGAGGUGCUCUAGGGGGGCUCCGGCGACGGUGGUGGGGAGCAGCGACGCAUUGGCGGGCAGCAGUGCUUAUGCAGCACAUAGCGGCAGCGCUGUAGGGCGGGAAAAUGGAGGCCUGAUGGCGCUGAAGGCGGAUCUCGGCCGCGGAUCUUGGCCGUGAGAGUGACACGCAGAGGCUGUUGGCAGCCGCAUCACCAAGCGGCAACCCCGCCGCCACACCCCCACACAAGCGCAGCGCCCCCAGAUCGCUGAGCCACAACCCCGCCGUUCCCUGCCAAAGGUCGCCGACGCCUUCCCCAACUUUUGGGUCGGCACCCAGAUUGUAGGCCUCCCUUUUAGCACCUUUUAGUGUUUGGUUAACACGUUUCUAUGAAAUUGAAGGUAUCAGUAAGGUUAUGUUGUGUGUUCACAUUAAUUUAGAAAUUGUAUGUAUAAAUUGAGUGCAUCCGAUGUUGUGCUUCUCAUGUUCCCUUGAAUGGAUGGAUGGAAAGAUGUUUUAUCUUUCAGGAUUUCUGGUGUGCGUACGAUCCUCUAAAUAACUUUUUUUCAUCUCAUGCAGCAACAGAGGUUUAGUGUAAGGCGUUGCAGCAUGGAUGCACAUGGGAUGCUGCACGUUAAAGUCCUUUACUUUGUUGAUAAUUUCUGUGAUGUAGAUUAUAAGUUAUAUAACAGAAAUAGAAUUUAAUUUGUGUAUGGUGUGGAUUCCAAAACUAAUCUGCUUCUAUUGAAACGCUCGCUUGUACUAGAAUUUUUCUAAAGCUAAUGGAAUCCCCUUGUACUCCGUCUAAAGCUUUCACGAUGACUACUUUUCCAAGAUACAUGUGACAGAGAGUAGGAGCUCAGGGAGCUGAAUGUGAAAGGAUAAAGUAGUCGGGAAGGAGAAAUCAUAUGUUGGAUUAACUAAUGCUUCCUAAUCAGUAUGCUUUUCAUAUUGUCGUUUAUAUUGAACUAAUAUAGUUUGCUUUUGAUUAAGGAUCUUGACAUGGCACCUAGCUGUUUUUGAUUUCCUGUAGUUUUUGUUGAUCUUCUCCUUCUUCGGAUUAAAUUGCUCAUUGCUUUUCCUAUUCUUUUGCAGGAACAUGAACCUUAUGAUGACCCAUAGUUGGAUGUAUGUGAGAGGUACAGGUGUUAUCUCAUAAGCAUAUCAAAAUACAAUCAUGACGUGUAUAAUUAUUCAGUUAUACUUUUUGUUCAUGGCUCAGCAAUCGACCAAAUUAAAUGACAAGAUAAACAUUCAGACAUCCUUGAUGACUGGGAUUCUAGGAAGACGAUCACAUACUCGACCAGGCCACCUGUCACCGCGAGACAAGCUAAAAGUGAAGCAACUACAGGUUUGCAUCGAAUGUUUUUACUAUUGGUUUCUUCAAGGGUAGAAACUUAUACCCAACAUAUGUCAUUUUUAGGUCAAUUGACUAGCCCCUCUUUUUAUAAUUGUGCAGUCAAUUUAGAGAAAGGGGAAAAGAAAAUGUAUGACACAAGGACCCUAAACCCUAAACAUUUGCAUUCCUGAUCCUAUUUAUGAUCCUACAAGGGCUAUCUCUAUGAGCUGAACAAUUAUAGCAGAUGACACAAUCAAAUUCAGAGGUUAGAGCGUGACGAGCAAUGUUAUGAGAGCUUGUCGUUGAUCUGCCUAUUUUCCGCAAAAUUGGGACAUGAUGGAUGGUCCUUGUGAGGUUCUCCAAGAAUUUUAUUCCUCAUUUUUCUGUUCUGGUAGUAUGAUGGAUUUUGAUUAGUUGAGAACCUGCAGUUUCUUUGGUAAGUUGGGAUUAAGAGUUCCUGAUAGGAAUAGGAUCCCUACCAGGACGAGGUCUCAGGUUAUAUGGUUGGAAGAGAGGUUGGCGGGGUGAGGUGCGCGGCCGGCGGCGGCGGGGGGGGGGGNNNNNNNNNNNNNNNNNNNNNNNNNNNNNNNNNNNNNNNNNNNNNNNNNNNNNNNNNNNNNNNNNNNNNNNNNNNNNNNNNNNNNNNNNNNNNNNNNNNNNNNNNNNNNNNNNNNNNNNNNNNNNNNNNNNNNNNNNNNNNNNNNNNNNNNNNNNNNNNNNNNNNNNGGGGGGGGGGGGGGGCACAGUGAUCACGCACGCGCACAAAAGAGAGAGAGAGAGAGAAUCGAGGCGGCUAGGGUUAGGGUGCCGGCUCCUAUGGGAGCCGAGCAAAUAUGAUUGCUUCUGCUUAACCAAAACGGAGUCCUUACAUGAGUAUAUAUAAUCUCCCUAGCCUAACAAAUACGAUAAACUAGGCUAAGCCCCUAAUAACGAUAAGAUAAGUUGGGCCAGGCCUUUAUGUGGUUGCGCCCUUGGGCCCUCUCCGGUUAUAAUGAAUAAGGGUCAUAACAGUUCCAUAUAUAUUUCUGCAUUGGUAGUAUGAUGGCAUUUUUUUGCAGUGUCUGAUUUAUUCACUGUGUUAUUACUUAGACCAAGCUUCUACCUUACUUGAGUUAGUAUUUUUUAUGUAUUCCAAUAGCUGUUAUUAAUUAUAUUUUUUUACUUCCACGGGAUCAACAAAUUGUCAAGCGCACAUGCUACAACCAUCAAUUUCUGUGAUAUUAACCAUCUAACUCUACAAUGUUCACACACUGGUUUCCGUCAUCUAUACGAUUAUGUUUCCAUUACAGUUGUUUGUUUCUCCAAUGACUAUGUAUACUCUUACGCACAAUAAGAAAUAUAUUCACGCUAUGCUAGUGCAUCCAAAAGAGUUGGUACCCAGGAGUUUGUUUUCCUAUUAUGUGCAUUGCUGGGAGCCUGGAACCUUAAAAAAAUUAUAUUACAUACGAAAUCAUCUCCAUCAGCGCCUGCCUACAACAUAAAAAUUGUUAUCCUUCCCAAAGACGAAUUUCUGAACAUUCUAGGAAUUCACGUAUUUGUGUCCGUACAUUUUUCACCUUUACUAUAAGUGGAAUGGUUUGUUAUUUAUUUAACUGCAAUUCAAAACAUUUAAGUACCGCACUAUAUGUUAAUGCUACUCAAACUCCAUUAUUUAUAAUAAAAAUAUGUUUAGGGCUACUUUGUUGUAUGAGUGAUGGCCUUUUUCUAUGAAUUUCGUACGCCAACUGUUGAUACAAGGUAUUUAUAGGAAAAAACAAAGGCAAAUGCCCUUUUGAAAAACCAACAAAGGAUUCCUCGGUGAACCCUCACUUUUAAUGCAAGUUCACUGGACGACUACCAUAUCUUUAUGUAGCAUUGGAAUGCUUGGAUGGGAGAUCUCCAUUCAGCUUUUAGAAGCCGUGAUUUUAUUUGGUUGGUUUGGUGGACAAUAUAGGUCUAUAUCCACUAAUGGUAGUUAUUUUUUAUUUGAACUAGCAGUUGUAACAAACAUUAUAUACCUUCGUAUGCAAUUUUUGGUGUUGAGAUUUUGCUUUAGAAUAUUGGCUCACUGCCAUUAAUACUUUUAUGUGAGGCUGUUUUUCAAUCAUGAAAAAGUUAUCUUAUUUAUUAACAACCAAUGAGAACACCUAAUGGAUGGAAUAAGAUAUAUUGUGGUCUGUAUGCAACAACAUGGUCAUAAUUGUGUUUCACCUUUGAAACUGCAACUUGAGCGACAUCAUAGAAUUGUGUUUCCAUUUAAGAUUUUUUUGAAACAUUUUUUUUGUAUUUGUAUGAAUUUCAUUUGCUCAAGUAUGAGACGUGCAUUGCACGUGCAAGCUUACUAGUUACCUGAAAGUUGAUGCAGCAUGCUCACGCAAAGAAAUUUCGUCAGGCUCUGUGCAAAAAUAUUUGUGCUUGGAUCUUCUGAUGAUGCCCACGGAGCCGCUGCAGUAAUCUCCUCGGCAGUCGGCACUUCCCUUCUUCGCCUUCUUUGAUCGAGAGCACGACGGUUUCUCUCCAUGUCCCCGUCGGCAUAUCAACGGUGGCAUAUCCGACUAUGAGGAUCACCAGUGAGGCUCCCGUCAUCAACUAUCUUUCUUUGGUUUCUCCCGAGGGACAUGUUACCGUCUAUUCGCACGCCUCCUUCCAUCCAUGUCCCCUAUGCAUCCUGAUUGGUUUGAGAUGAUUCCAUUGACAUUCGCUAGCAUCGUUGUUGAUGAAACAUUUGUUAUAUCAUGUUUGCAGCUUCUGUUCGUGACUUUGCAAUCAAUAUUUGUAGAUACAGUUCAUGGAUCACGAAAUCUGCACAAUCUCCAUCUUCAUCCAGUGAUUAUACUGUAUUGAUUGGUUGUGUCAGGGUUAUUUUAUCAACCACUAGGUUGCCGAUCUAUAAUACAGUUUUAUUCUUACACAAGUUAAUAUGGACUUGAUUCCUUUUAGCUAGGUUCCCUAUAAUAGCUUGAGAGGUUUCUCAUAUGAUGAUUUACUAUGUUUAGUUUGCUUCGUUUCAUGCUCCUCAUGGUUUCUUUGAAUUCUUCUCAAGGUUCUCGAUGAAAAAUCUCACAUUAGCAAAUAUGUUGUUCUUUUGUACCAGGGUUGCAUGUGGUAUUGACGGUAAAUUUGAGAAGCAGCAUCAAACUCCUCGAUGUUGCUCUUAUCAUAUGGUGUAAAUAGAUUUCGAAUAAAGCAAUCGCUAUGAGAAUUUUUUUGAGGGAGAGGAUGUUGACAGUGUAUAGUUAGAUGUAAGAAGAUAUAAUCAUGAAGUGUGAGAGAUGGCAACAGUAUGGCAACAUGGUGGAAUGUACUGUUGUGCUCACCAAUGAAGGUUAGUCUUUCUUUCUGCUGCAGCCAGUCGAUUAUGCAAAAACUAUACCUAAUAUCUAUGUAGGUACGCCCAAAUAUAUAUAAGUGGGUGUUGUUAACACUGAGUUUGUAUUUAUUAAUGGGCAUACAUGUUUAAUUUCCUUUUUCUUUUAUUUUUGAUCUGAUCAGGACUUGAGAUCUGGAAAGGAUCACAACAAGGAUAUAAAUUUACGCAUAGCACAACUAUGGUUACUUUUUUACUAAUAAUUUUAUAGAUAUCUACAUACUAAUAGUGGUCGUCUUUUCAUUCGUGAGAAAACAUAUGCAAUGUUCCAUCCUGUCUUAUGUGAAACUUUUAUCCACAACUGAUUGAACUAAAAUGUCAUGAAACAUCUAUACUAAUUUGUUUUCUUAAAUUCUUUAGUUAGAAUCCAUCUCUUCUAUGUGAAUAGAGACGAACCACGAUUAUUCUAGCAAACUAUGGCCUCG
rnacentral:lncRNA from 1 species